rnacentral:lncRNA from 1 species
AAAUAUUAUAACUGAAAGGUGACAACUGCAUUUUCCCUCAUAUGAAGCCCAAUCCCCCUCUGGGACUCUUUGGCAGAGUUGAGAACAUCCACACGGAUAAUCCAAGUAGAAGCGGUCAGUGCACAGCACUAGUCCACCCCAUUAGCUAUGGAGCAACAAUGGUCAUCUCCAGGGUUUCUACACAAGACUCCAGCUCCUGAUGAAUAAGGGAAAAAAUUGUAUCAUUUCUGCUUGGCCUAGGUCUCUGUACCUCCUGAAAAUUUCCAUGGUGUUUGAGUUCUCAUUUUGUGGACUGUAUGGAAUUAAUCAAGCUCUGGCCACUGGUUUAACCACAGACUUGUCUGUACUCUUCUAUGGUUUCCCACAGCAGUGGAGGUGUGCAAUGUCCCUGAUCCAAGGGCUCCUUUCAGGUUGCCUGAAGUCCUUCAAGAUCAAGAAACCGUUUGGAAUUAAGGACACCAAACCUCGUGAGAUAUUUUGUUUUGUUUUUUUAAAACAGAAAAUGAAGGUGGUAAAUCGAAGGCUCAUCUGCAAUGAUGAAGACUAAAACUCCCCCCUGGAGUGAAGCAAGGCUGAGAGACAGAAGAGAGAAUGUCCUGGGUUCCAAUCAGAGAGGAGGACUGUGGUUCAUUGCAGUGGGGCGGACCAAGGGGCUCCCUGGUCCCCUGCUUCCAAGAGCUCCCAUAUCCUGACAGUCUAACAGUAAAACAAACAAACAGACAAAACCAAAACCAAAAUUUCAAGAGUGGAAAGGAGUUUUUCCCCAGAUUGACAUUCAAAUUCAUCUGACCACGAGUUUUGGGAGGCAUGACAUAUGAUGCAGUACUCCUGCAGGUAUUCUUUUGUGAAGUGGCUAUCCAGAUGUAAAAAAAAGUACAAGACAAAAGCUGUCAUCAAGGGAUUCAUGGUUUAGUUGAAGAUAAAAGAAUAGGCCUUAAAGGAAUCCACGAGUGAGGUUACCGCGGAGAACAGAGAACUGCAGGGAGUUUCCGCGUGGAGCCCCCCGAAGCUGGACAGUGAGGCUGCAGACCCUGGCUGUUCACUAACUGAUGUGUAUGACCUUGACACAUAGACUGGUGACAGGACCUCUGAGCUUCAGCUUUCACAUCCAAAAAGUGAAGACGAUGUGGCACCCACCUCACAGGUUCCAAGGAGCAUGAAAUGCCAUCACUGUGCUGUACUUGGAGCUCUAAAAUGUGUGGGGAAGGGUAUCCACAACAAUGGCUGAUAGAACGUCCUGGAGUCACAAAGAACAAGCACUCUUAGGAAAGGUGCCAUUUUAGUUAGAUAUGACACAAUGAAUCGGGUUUGGAUCAGGAGGGAAGGACUGUCUAUUUCAGGAAGUGGAAAAAAGAAGAAUGAGCAAUAAGUCUUCAUCUGCCUUUGUGUCCCCACAUUAUGUCUUGUCUUCCAGGUCUUAUGGAAACACUUCCCUCAUGUAAAAGAGAAAAAAAUAAACAUAGUCGUAUUACAUUUUGGGUGAAACAUUUAAAAUCAGAGACAUCACGCACAGCUUUGCUGCAUACUAAAAGCCUAAAGGAGAAAGAGGAACAGAAAAAUGUUGUUUAAUUUGAAUGGAUGUUGGAGGAAAGAAUGAUCUUCAAAUAGUUCAGAGUCCUGUCUUUUGGCUGAAAUCCAUUUCUAAGUAAAACUCUCCAUAGUGCCCUCCCUGCCCUUCUUCCCCACCCUUCCUGUCCUAACCAGCUCUUCCCCAGAACAGCUCUCACCUUCCCAAAGCAGAAUAAAGCCCAGGACAAUGUUGAAGGAAAACUGCACUUUUACAUUUCUAGAUGAUUUCCUAACAGAAAAUAUAUGAACUCUCGGAACUAAAACUUAGCUGAGGAUUCCAAGCUCCAACCUAGGACCUGAAGAAACCAAGUUCAUUGGGUGACUUACAAAUGUGUUGAUUAUAACUCUCUUCAUAGAAUGACAUCAGGACAUUUGAAUAUGAAAUUAAAGAAUUUACUCACCCGCCUUUAUACUUCCAUCAGGCCAAGCAGCUGGAAAGACAGUUUUUGCUUUUUUCAGAACAUUGGGAUAUUCACUUUCAUUAACAUUAAACAAGCUGAAAAGUUGUUGAAGUUUCCUUGAGAUGUUUGUAAAGAAUAGUGGAGCAAACAUUUGGAAAUUUGGGCGAGGCAGGAUGCAUCUCCA